AUUGAACGCUGGCGGCAGGCCUAACACAUGCAAGUCGAACGAGUGGCGGACGGGUGAGUAAUGUCUGGGAAACUGCCUGAUGGAGGGGGAUAACUACUGGAAACGGUAGCUAAUACCGCAUACCAUCAGAUGUGCCCAGAUGGGAUUAGCUUGUUGGUGGGGUAACGGCUAACCAAGGCGACGAUCCCUAGCUGGUCUGAGAGGAUGACCAGCCACACUGAAACUGGGACACGGUCCCGAGUCCUACGGGAGGCAGCAGUGGGGAAUAGUACACAGUGGGCGCAAGCCAGAUGCAGCCAUGGCGCGUGUAUGAAGAAGGCCUACGGGUUGUAAAGUACUUUCAGCGGGAAGGCGUUACCCGCAGGAGAAGCACCGACUAACUACGUGCCAGCAGCCGCGGUGAUAC
rnacentral:rRNA from 1 species